UACGUAGGGUGCAAGCGUUGUCCGGAAUCAUUGGGCGUAAAGCGCGCGUAGGUGGUCAUGUAAGUCCGCUGUGAAAGUCAAAGGCUCAACCUUUGAAAGCCGGUGGAUACUGCAUGACUAGAGUACGGAAGAGGCGAGUGGAAUUCCUGGUGUAGCGGUGGAAUGCGCAGAUAUCAGGAGGAACGCCAAUAGCGAAGGCAGCUCGCUGGGACGUUACUGACACUGAGGCGCGAAAGCGUGGGGAGCGAACAGG
rnacentral:rRNA from 1 species